rnacentral:rRNA from 1 species
UACGUAGGGUGCGAGCGUUAAUCGGAAUUACUGGGCGUAAAGCGUGCGCAGGCGGUUUUGUAAGACAGGCGUGAAAUCCCCGAGCUCAACUUGGGAAUUGCGCUUGUGACUGCAAGGCUAGAGUGUGUCAGAGGGGGGUAGAAUUCCACGUGUAGCAGUGAAAUGCGUAGAGAUGUGGAGGAAUACCGAUGGCGAAGGCAGCCCCCCUGGGACAUGACUGACGCUCAUGCACGAAAGGCGUGGGGAGCAAACAGG